UUUAAGAAAUUAAUAACUCCAUUAAAUUUUAUUAANCUCUUUUGUGGUGGCACAAAAUCGGAAGCCCCGACUGUUUACUAAAAACACAGCUAUCUGCAACGAUGUAAAUCAUAGUAUAGGUAGUGAGGUUUGCCCGAUGCCAUUAAUAUAAGAGAAGUGAUGGGUAACUGUUAAUUAUCGAAAAUCUGGUUAAUAGCGGUCUUAACUAUGAGGAUCCUAAGGUAGCAAAAUAAAUUGGCCAUUAAAUGUGGUCCGGUAUCAAUAAUUUAACGAUGGCUUCACUGUCUCUACAACUUGCUCAGUG
rnacentral:rRNA from 2 species